AGUGAACGCUGGCGGUAGGCCUAACACAUGCAAGUCGAACGGCACCACAGUAAGAGCUUGCUCUUACGGGUGGCGAGUGACGGACGGGUGCGGAAUACAUCGGAAUCUACUUUUUCGUGGGGGGUAACGUAGGGAAACUUACGCCAAUACCGCAUACGACCUACGGGUUUAAGCAGCAGAUCUUCGGACCUUGCGCGAUUGACUGAGCCGAUGUCGGAUUAGCUAGUUGGCGGGGUAAAGGCCCACCAAGGCGACGAUCCGUAGCUGGUCUGAGAGGAUGAUCAGCCACACUGGAACUGAGACACGGUCCAGACUCCUACGGGAGGCAGCAGUGGGGAAUAUUCGACAAUGGGCGCAAGCCUGAUCCAGCCAUACCGCGUGGGUGAAGAAGGCUUUCGGGUUGUAAAGCCCUUUUGUUGGGGAAGAAAAGCAGCAGGUUAAUACCCCGCUGUUCUGACGGUACCUAAAGAAUAAGCACCGGCUAACUUCGUG
rnacentral:rRNA from 1 species